rnacentral:rRNA from 1 species
GACGAACGCUGGCGGCGUGCUUAACACAUGCAAGUCGAACGGAAAGGCCCUGCUUUUGUGGGGUGCUCGAUUGGCGAACGGGUGAGUAACACGUGAGUAACCUGCCCUUGACUUUGGGGUAACUUCAGGAAACUGGGGCUAAUACCGGGUAGGAGCUCCUGCUGCAUGGUGGUGGUUGGAAAGUUUCGGCGGUGGGGGAUGGACUCGCGGCUUAUCAGCUGGUUGGUGUGGUAGUGGCUUACAAAGGCUUUGACGGGUAGCCGGCCUGAGAGGUUGACCGGCCACAUUGGGACUGAGAUACGGCCCAGACUCCUACGGGAGGCAGCAGUGGGGAAUAUUGCAGAAUGGGCGGAAGCCUGAUGCAGCAACGCCGCGUGCGGGAUGACGGCCUUCGGGUUGUAAACCGCUUUCGCCUGUGACGAAGCGUGAGUGACGGUAAUGGGUAAAGAAGCACCGGCUAACUACGUG